GACGAACGCUGGCGGCGUGCCUAAUACAUGCAAGUAGAACGCUGAAGAGAGGAGCUUGCUCUUCUUGGAUGAGUUGCGAACGGGUGAGUAACGCGUAGGUAACCUGCCUUGUAGCGGGGGAUAACUAUUGGAAACGAUAGCUAAUACCGCAUAACAAUGGAUGACACAUGUCAUUUAUUUGAAAGGGGCAAUUGCUCCACUACAAGAUGGACCUGCGUUGUAUUAGCUAGUAGGUGAGGUAACGGCUCACCUAGGCGACGAUACAUAGCCGACCUGAGAGGGUGAUCGGCCACACUGGGACUGAGACACGGCCCAGACUCCUACGGGAGGCAGCAGUAGGGAAUCUUCGGCAAUGGGGGCAACCCUGACCGAGCAACGCCGCGUGAGUGAAGAAGGUUUUCGGAUCGUAAAGCUCUGUUGUAAGUCAAGAACGAGUGUGAGAGUGGAAAGUUCACACUGUGACGGUAGCUUACCAGAAAGGGACGGCUAACUACGUGCCAGCAGCCGCGGUAAUACGUAGGUCCCGAGCGUUGUCCGGAUUUAUGGGCGUAAAGCGAGCGCAGGCGGUUUGAUAAGUCUGAAGUUAAAGGCUGUGGGCUUUUCAUAAUUCGCUUUGGAAACUGUCAAACUUGAGUGCAGAAUGGGAGAGUGGAAUUCCAUGUGUAGCGGUGAAAUGCGUAGAUAUAUGGAGGAACACCGGUGGCGAAAGCGGCUCUCUGGUCUGUAACUGACGCUGAGGCUCGAAAGCGUGGGGAGCGAACAGGAUUAGAUACCCUGGUAGUCCACGCCGUAAACGAUGAGUGCUAGGUGUUGGAUCCUUUCCGGGAUUCAGUGCCGCAGCUAACGCAUUAAGCACUCCGCCUGGGGAGUACGACCGCAAGGUUGAAACUCAAAGGAAUUGACGGGGGCCCGCACAAGCGGUGGAGCAUGUGGUUUAAUUCGAAGCAACGCGAAGAACCUUACCAGGUCUUGACAUCCCGAUGCUAUUUCUAGAGAUAGAAAGUUACUUCGGUACAUCGGUGACAGGUGGUGCAUGGUUGUCGUCAGCUCGUGUCGUGAGAUGUUGGGUUAAGUCCCGCAACGAGCGCAACCCCUAUUGUUAGUUGCCAUCAUUCAGUUGGGCACUCUAGCGAGACUGCCGGUAAUAAACCGGAGGAAGGUGGGGAUGACGUCAAAUCAUCAUGCCCCUUAUGACCUGGGCUACACACGUGCUACAAUGGUUGGUACAACGAGUUGCGAGUCGGUGACGGCAAGCUAAUCUCUUAAAGCCAAUCUCAGUUCGGAUUGUAGGCUGCAACUCGCCUACAUGAAGUCGGAAUCGCUAGUAAUCGCGGAUCAGCACGCCGCGGUGAAUACGUUCCCGGGCCU
rnacentral:rRNA from 1 species